rnacentral:lncRNA from 1 species
AUGUCAAGUGUGCCCAGGGUGACCCAGGGCUCAGCUUGUGUGUAGAAGGCCCUCGUGUAUUUUGCCAAGUUUCCCAUGGUGGGAGUGAACACACCAAGUGCCUUCCUGAAGUCACACCACAAAGAGCAUGAGAUGCCUAAGUUCAUUGCCAUUUCCACGUCGGGUCUGAGACCUUUCCCUGCAGGGAUGGUAACCAUACUCUAUUCUACAACCCUCCAUGAACCUGCUUCCAAUUGGCUAUUAUGAUGAA